rnacentral:rRNA from 1 species
UACGGAGGGUGCGAGCGUUAUCCGGAUUUAUUGGGUUUAAAGGGUGCGUAGGCGGUCUUAUAAGUCAGCGGUGAAAGUUUUAGGCUCAACCUAAAAAUUGCCGUUGAAACUGUUAGACUUGAGUAUAGAUGAAGUGGGCGGAAUUUGUGGUGUAGCGGUGAAAUGCAUAGAUAUCACGAGGAACUCCAAUUGCGCAGGCAGCUCACUAAGCUAUAACUGACGCUGAUGCACGAAAGCGUGGGUAUCCAACAGG